GCCCUCUUUGCCUAAGAUGAGUCUGAAGUAUAAAUCUAAGGUCUUCUCAGAGGUCUUUUCUGAGCCUGCACCAUCCCCUAGGCUGUGCCAUGACUUUCUGAUUUCUCUCAUAUAUGCAAUUGUGUUUAUGUCUGGCUCCCAAAAGGGGAAAAUGAGAAAAAUGAAUGGGAGUGGGGAGGGAAACACCAGCUCUUUAAUUCUCCUGGAAGUCACUUCAACCAGAAGGUGAGGGGCUUGCAACAAUGGAAGUGCAACAAUGGCUAAUGACUCUCUGCACCUCUGUGAUCACGAGUGGCAGUUAGGAAUCAGAGCACAGAUCUAACGUUUUGAGGACAAUGUACUUUUUGCCCCCCUAGCUCCUACAAGCUGUGUGCAAACCACUCUAGGAACAUGUGCACAGCUGCGUGCCAUGAGAUUCAGUGGUAGGAGAUGGUUAGCUGCUGCUGUGCCAAGACUGGAAAUUGACCAAUUUUUUUUUUUUUUUGAGACAGAGUCUCGCUCUGUUACCUAGGCUGGAGUGCAGUGAGGUGAUCUUGGCUCACUGCAACCUCCGUCUCCCAGAUUCAAGUGGUUCUCCUGCCUCAGCCUCCAGAGUAGCUGGGACUACAGGCAUUCACCACCACGCCUGGCUAAUUUUAUAUUUUUCGUAGAGACGGAUUUUGCCAUGUUGGCCAUGCUGGUCUUGAACUCCUGACCUCAGGUGACCCAUCCACCUCAACCUCCCAAAGUGCUAGGAUUACAGGCAUGAGCCACUGCACCCCACCUCUCUUUUCCUUUUUUUGGUCUUAAAACAACAUGCAUUUAUUUGGGUCACAAUGCUAUAGAUUGGCUAUUUGGGCUGGGCUCCGCUGGGCAAUUCUUCUGGUCUCUGUUGGACUCAUUCCCGCAUAUUUUCCCCCAGUUGCUAGGUUGGCUAAGUGUCGGCUAUUCUAAGACAGAUGGCUCACUGCUGCUCCACAUAAUCUCAUCUCCCAGUAGGCUAGCCCAGGUUUGUUCUAUAGCAGCUGAGCAGGAUCCCAGAAAAGCAAGUGGAAGCAUGCAAGACUUCUUAAAGGUUACGCUUAAAACAACUACAUGAUCACUUUCACCACAUUCCAUUGGGCAAAACUUCAUAACACGGCUAGCUCAGAUUCCAGGGUUGAGGAAAUAGAUUCCACUCUUUAAUGAGGGGAGUUACAGAGACACAUUGCAAAUGAAUGAAUAUAGGGAGGAACAGAGAACUGGAGACAUUUCUGCAAUCCUCUUCAAAGCAUUAGCAUAUAUAUUUUGCCUUAGGCUUUAUUUUCUAAGGGACUCAGGCUAUGACAGUGUCUAUUACACUAAUUUUUUUUUAAAGAAAUUGACAAAAUUUAACCACAAUGUACUGUCCAAGUCUUCCUCUGGAAGCUGCAAGUUUCAAUAAAUUCUACAGUUCUAAAAUACAGAUGGUUCCUUGAUUUAUGACGGAAUUAUAUCCCAGAUAAAUCCAUCACAAGCUGAAAAUAUCUUAAGUCAAAAACACACUUUUGACAUAUUAUUUUUAACUUACAACGGGUUUAUCUGGGACAUAACCUCACUGUAAGUCGAGAAGCGUACUAAAAUCUAUAACAUUUUUGGACUAUUGUAAAGUUGAAAAAUCAUAAGUGAAACCGUCGUAAAUCAGGGAUUGUCUGUACAUAAGACAGACUCUGCCAGUGUAAUUUUUGUCUAGGUGAGGAGACAGAUUUCUGGUGCUUCCUAUUCUGCCAUUUUCCUAGAAUCCUCUCCUAUUUGUUUCAUUUUCAUUCAUUCUAUAUUGAUUAAUAUUAAACAUCUAAUAUUGUG
rnacentral:lncRNA from 1 species